CCUACGGGUGGCAGCAGUGGGGGAUAUUGCACAAUGGGGGAAACCCUGAUGCAGCGACGCCGCGUGGGCGAAGAAGUAUUUCGGUAUGUAAAGCCCUAUCAGCAGGGAAGAAGAAAUGACGGUACCUGAGUAAGAAGCACCGGCUAAAUACGUGCCAGCAGCCGCGGUAAUACGUAUGGUGCAAGCGUUAUCCGGAUUUACUGGGUGUAAAGGGAGCGCAGGCGGCACGGCAAGCCUGGAGUGAAAGCCCGGGGCCCAACCCCGGGACUGCGCUUGAAACUGGGUGGCUGGAGUGCAGGAGGGGCAGGCGGAAUUCCUGGGGUAGCGGUGAAAUGCGUAGAUAUCAGGAAGAACACCGGUGGCGAAGGCAGCCUGCUGGACUGCAACUGACGUUGAGGCCCGAAAGCGUGGGGAGCGAACAGGAUUAGAUACCCGGGUAGUC
rnacentral:rRNA from 1 species